rnacentral:SRP_RNA from 2 species
GUUGGGUGUGGUGGCUCACACCUGUAAUCCCAUCACUUUGGGAGACUGAGGUGGGUGGAUCACCUGAGGUCAGGAGUUUGAGACCAGCCUGGCUAACAUGGUGAAAACCCAUCUCUA